AUGGACAUUUUCUGGCCGUGGCUAAUUAAGGAUUCAUCCUCUCCCCGCGGUGUUUCCAUGCCUGGCACAGCUGCUGCUCCCCAGCAGCCCUCCGAGGUUUGCUCCUGUCACAGCAGCCCCGGCUCUGUCACCAGAGCUGCUGCAGCCUGGAGAGCCACGGAGCGAUGGGCGGCCUCCAGGGAAUGGAACGAGAGCAGGGAAAUAAACCAAAUAUCGGUGUCUUUUAUACACCUGCAGAAAAGAGCUGGGGAAUGUCCAAGGUUCAAGGGAAUCUGCUGCCUUGCUAUUUUUACCUGGAUUGGAGACGCAUCAAAGCCGAUUUUGGAGGAGAGGAGGAACUCAGCCUUUAAACUGACAAUGGCUGCUUUUGAUCCCGGACUCAUUAAAACCCGAUCCUGCUGUGGGAUUGUUCCCCUCUCCCCAAAGCUGUGGGCUGGGGGUGCUGUCCCCGAGCCCCACAAACAGGAGCUGGUCCUGGUGGGAGCCCAGAGCCCAGCCCGGCUCCCUCCCGACCCCAACCAGCCCAGGGCCACCCCCACAACACCACAAAUUAACUAAUGAGGGCUUGAUUACCUCGCCAGAGCGCGGCUUUGGGAGAUUUGGAGCGGGGUUUUCAGCUGGCCGUGGGGAGAGGUCUCUGCUCCUGCCCCAGGGCCGCCUGCAGGCUCCUCCUGGGGGCUCCAAACUGGGAUUUCAUCAAGGGAAAAUCCCAGUGUUUGCUUGGAUGUGGGGACAAUUAAACCAAACCUGCAGGGAAGCUGAUCAUUAAACCAUCAAAUCCAGCCUGGGAACCUCUCCUCGCUCUCCCCAAAACAUCCUCGGGGGGUUUCAAAGGAACGCCGAGAUCCC
rnacentral:lncRNA from 1 species